UUAUAGAAAAAGGUUAUGGAGUUCACUUCAGCCAUUUUAAAACUGUUUGCGCGCGGAAGUUUCCAUGUAUGAGAUAGAUGAUGGCGCAUGCCAACCACACCAUUCUCCAAUUCUAGAAGCGUUUAUUUACACACAUAAGAACGACAAUAAUGGCAACUUCACACACAAGGAGGUGUAAGCACGAGAGGAAAACCAGACAUGCAAAGCAUAUCUACAUAUCUACGUGGCAACACUGGAUUAAGGAUCAUGGUGUAUGUGAAAUUGUGAAUGUUGGCCUGAAUAUGAGGAACUUUCGGUAAUGGUGUCCGGAUUC
rnacentral:lncRNA from 1 species